UCGAGGAGGAAGAACGAGCGAGCCGUGUCCGCCACCUUCAGGAAAGGAGAGGAAAUUGCGGGCACAUGUGCUUGCAUGGCUUGUUCGCGUUGCACACUUACCUGAGAGUAACGAAGCCCCAUUGCACUCGGCGGGACUUACCUUAACAUGGGUUAAGGUCGGGAUGCUUGAGUUGGUAUAAGAAGGAGAUUUUUUCCAAGUGCAGCUUUUCCCAAUUGGGACGUUGCGGCGACUGCGACGGAUAAGGAGAAGCUGGCAUAACAUUUCCUUUUUACGCAGCUCAUAGAAAGGUACAGACGUCUGGCAAUAAUACUGAAAUCAUAGCCAUCGUAGCCAUCUUCAUAAAAUAGUAAUAAUAAUAGUAAAUGUUACAAGUAGACAAAGUCACAAAAACGGUUGUGUGGUGUGUUUUAUUUAACCAUUUUAUCAGGAAGAGAGUUGCUCACAUAGUGGAUUACGUGGAAAGAGGAAGCUUUUGUGGCUGUGCAAACUCCGGAGAUUCUCCCUAUGUUCAACGGGCCUCACACUGGCGAGGGCUGCCUCUGGCCCUGACCUUCCCUAUACACACGCACCCAGUACUUUAUUUAGCUUUCCACUGACAAACACACUCCUCUCCGACUUGGCCAAAUGGCAGUUUUUGCAAAUACUGUGGGGGAGAAGUUUCCUGACCUGGAGUUAACCUCAGCUCUGAGUUGCAGGCUGGGGUUAAAAGAGAGGCCUUGGUGCACAUUAGGGUAACCCAAAUGUUAUGAAAGGCAGCGGUGAUGUUCAGGCUUUUGAGUUGCCAAAACUCUUAGGCAGACAAAUUGGUAAGCAAAACAGAAAGGGAGGUGGAAGAGGGAAAUGGUUAAUGUGGGCCAUGGACAAAGAAUGGACAUUGCUGUACAUGUCACAUCACCACCAUAGAUUUAAAACAAUGUUACACUCAGUGCUUUUUUCCUGGGGGUACGCAGGGGUACACAUACCCCUAAACAUUUUUUGAAUCUAAGUUUGGCCUCAUUGAGGGGCUGUAUUUCAAUGUGAAUAGGAAAAUGAGAGUACCCCUAAACAUUUUUUUAGGAAAAAAGCACUGGUUAUACUACUUUACCAGCUGCCACUUCUACCAAAUAAUCCUGGGACUUGUAGUUUACCUCCACAGAGAGCUACAGUUCCCAGCAUUCAUGGCAAGCUACAGUUCCCAGGAUUCUUUGGGGGAAGCCAUGACUGUGAACGAGAUGUAAGUGUGCUCUAAGUGCACAGCAUGGUGUCAUUGUGACCACAGUCUUCCUGUGCCUGGCAUCACUCUUCCUAUUUUAUGAAGCUCUCAAAACCAGCUCUAAAGUUAAGCCCCAGUUCAAAUUGCACCCUGCUCAAGCCUUAUUUGCUUGUAAUGGCUGGAUCCAUCUUGGAUAUGACCCCUCUUCAGCUUGUUCUUUCUUAUACAGUACAGGCAACAUCUUCCUUUGCCUCUUUUGCAGUUUGCUGUGCAAUAAUUACGUAUUCCAACCCCCUCCCCCAC